ACCUGGCUGGCUCAGUCAGAAGAGCAUGAGAUUCUUGAUCUCGAGGUUGUGAGUUUGAGCCCCACGUUGGGUA
rnacentral:tRNA from 1 species